GGGCUUGUGGCGGAACGGCAGACGCGACGGACUUAAAAUCCGUUGGCCGCAAGGCCGUGUGGGUUCGAUUCCCACCAAGCCCA
rnacentral:tRNA from 1 species